AGAGUUUGAUCCUGGCUCAGGAUGAACGCUGGCGGCGUGCUUAACACAUGCAAGUCGAACGAAGCACUUUAUUUGAUUUCCUUCGGGACUGAUUAUUUUGUGACUGAGUGGCGGACGGGUGAGUAACGCGUGGGUAACCUGCCUUGUACAGGGGGAUAACAGUUGGAAACGGCUGCUAAUACCGCAUAAGCGCACAGCAUCGCAUGAUGCAGUGUGAAAAACUCCGGUGGUAUAAGAUGGACCCGCGUUGGAUUAGCUAGUUGGUGAGGUAACGGCCCACCAAGGCGACGAUCCAUAGCCGACCUGAGAGGGUGACCGGCCACAUUGGGACUGAGACACGGCCCAAACUCCUACGGGAGGCAGCAGUGGGGAAUAUUGCACAAUGGGCGAAAGCCUGAUGCAGCGACGCCGCGUGAGCGAAGAAGUAUUUCGGUAUGUAAAGCUCUAUCAGCAGGGAAGAUAAUGACGGUACCUGACUAAGAAGCACCGGCUAAAUACGUGCCAGCAGCCGCGGUAAUACGUAUGGUGCAAGCGUUAUCCGGAUUUACUGGGUGUAAAGGGAGCGCAGGCGGUGCGGCAAGUCUGAUGUGAAAGCCCGGGGCUCAACCCCGGUACUGCAUUGGAAACUGUCGUACUAGAGUGUCGGAGGGGUAAGCGGAAUUCCUAGUGUAGCGGUGAAAUGCGUAGAUAUUAGGAGGAACACCAGUGGCGAAGGCGGCUUACUGGACGAUAACUGACGCUGAGGCUCGAAAGCGUGGGGAGCAAACAGGAUUAGAUACCCUGGUAGUCCACGCCGUAAACGA
rnacentral:rRNA from 1 species